rnacentral:misc_RNA from 1 species
AGCCAUUUCCAAUUAAUGGGGGAAACCAGUACAGUGAGCGAAAAAUGUUGCUGUAAUUGAUAGUUUUGAAGCUUAUAGUAAUUGAUUCCAACCAUAUUAAUUAAUUAGUUUGCUUACAUUGGCAGAAAGGGACCAAUUUGGAGACCAAUUUUGAAAAAUGCAUGUAUUUUUCACCUAGCACUUUGCAUUUGCAUGGAGGAAAAGUUAGGCUGCGUUUAUAAAUUUUAUAUGGCGUACGAUAAAUAAUUGUCUAUUGAGUGCAAGGCCCUAAUCGCAUUUAUAGGAGUAAAACCCACUUAUUGAUUUCGUAUCUUACUAUCUUUUAGAGGUGGCAGGUGAAGCAACUUCAAUUUCAAGAUGCUCAAUGUUCUUGCUUGAAUGAAGCUACUAGUUGGAUACAAAUACAAAUCCAAAAAUUUUUAAACAUGAUCCGUAAAAUAAAUGAUGUUUGUAUUUUUUUAAAUCUAACGAUUUCGAAAGGAAUCCACAGAGGAUUAUCAAUGAUGGAUGACUGAAUUUGUACGAUUUAUAUCAGACGGAUUUAAUUCGUUACUCAAAAGUGUAUGUUUUAAUAUUUAAAUCUUUUCUAAAAUUAUAAAGUUUCAAAUUUAAAUAUCAAGCUAUAUGUUACUCAUUUUAGUUUUGAUUGAGCUAUGAACUAUUUAUUUAUUUUUUGUUAUAAUAUUUUUGUUAUUGUUUAUAGAGUCAUUAUAUUCGGAAUUCAUUGAUGAAGUACUUUGCUUAAGCAAAAAGGAAACUUCUGUCUAUGGAAGCUUUUAUGGUUUUGUUCCAUUUAGGAUUGAAUCAAAAUAUCCCUUGGGCCAUGGAAUCCGAUAUUUUUAAUAUUCAGGAAUUUCCGUUAUUUUGUGCUGGAUUUCUGGGCGUUCUUUCGGAGAUCGUCAUGUGACUUGUGGCCCCAAAUUCAUCUCAUUUCUUUUUGACCUUUUAUUAUUCCAAUUGAGAAACAUACAUCCUCACCUUAUCCUCUUGGUCAGUUUUCUUUCUCAAAUGCAUUGUUACAUUUCUAGACACCCACUGGACAUCCACUCAAUACUCUGUUUUUGCUCAUCAUAAGUAGGUUUAAUUAAACGAAUGGCAAUGCUUUGUGAUUGGAAUUUGUUAGUUAAUUAAAACUUGCUGUUAAUCUUUGUAAUUUUUUACAGGUUUUAUGCAUCAGAAGUAGU